rnacentral:lncRNA from 1 species
UACAUGUAUUCUUACCAAUGUGUGAUAUUUUUUGCUAAUUUUUUUCCCAACUUGAUGGCUUAGGCCAGAGUCUUUCAAGAAAAAAAGUCUUAUUAGAGAAGUCUUCAUAUCUCGUGAGGAUGAAUUAAAAGCAGAAUCUCAACUUUGCUACCUUUAAAUGUCACGGAGAGAAAAAACUGCAAAACCAUGUGCAACAAUAUCCAUGAUAAAUCAUCUUUGAUCUCAACAUAACGGAGACUAUAAGGAGUAUAAAGACUAGAAGAAAGAGUAGAAGGUGAUCCACAAUCAAUUCAGAACCUGGUCUUCUAUGGUGGCUCACAGUUCCUGCACCCUACAAUAUCGUGAAUUUUCUUCCUCUUCAUCUAAUGACAUGAAUAUGCUCCAGUGGAUCCUAGGAUAUCUUUCACAUGAGGUUACCCUUGCCCUUUGGAUGUCAGGUGGAACAAAGGGAUGGAAGAUUUUUUGUACUGGGACAUUCAGUAAACCCCUAGGCCUACCUAUUGUCUAGUCAGAGUUAGAGAAGCAAAUGAUGUCUGUGAGGGCCUACAAGGCACAAGAGGAUGAAAGUUUAACUUAAAGUUUAGAUGCUGAUAUUCUAGCUAGUAAUAAUGUAUGAUUGCCUCAUGUACUACUCUUUUUUUAUAUUUCUCUCCUAAUGUAUAAAGAUGGAUUUCAAAAGAUAGGCAGCCUGGGAUUCAAAUUCUGAUCAUCUUUUCACUUUGUAAACUAAUGGAUAUAUUUUUUUAAAACAUUGUGUUUAAUACACGCCAAUGCCAAAGGCUUUCUACAGACUCAUGUGGAGUGGGAUGAUGCCCAGAAUGUCGAUAAAUUGACAGAAUAAUAUGAAGAACCCAACAGUCAUGUGCCAUGAAUUCUGCAGGCACAUUUGGACAUGAGUGUGAGCCAGAAGAUCAUUCUAUUUGGGAAAAUUUAAAUUGGGUGCAAGAAGCAUUAGCUAACAGUCUGAACCGAGGUAUGAUCCAAACUGAUAAAACUUGAUGAAGUUGGAAGAAGCAAAAGGGAGUUGGUAUGGAUCCUCAGAAUACGACAGAAACACAAGGAGUUUCAAGGGCAUUUGACAACAUGAAGUGCCAGCUAUAUUAGGGCACAGCAGAAAAAAAAUGUUUUCUGGACAGACUUAAUUUCUGAAGUGCCUUCUCCUCUUAUACUACCAUGGAAAUUACAGUGUUCUUCUGCUGUCUCAGCACCUUCCACAUUUAAAAAAAAAUCAUGCCUUUCCUUAUCUGUCUACCUAAUUAGACAUCCAUGGAUGAGAAAUGUGUCUAUGUAUCUUCAGUUUCUAUAUGUCCACUACAAUCCUCAUGCCUGGAACAGAGAGGUGUUCAAUAAAUCCAUGAACAAAAAGAAACUGAAGUUCUAAGGUCCAAACAAUGUUGAUUCUUUAUGAGCCAGUAGGGAUUUGCCUCUUUCUAAUUCCUCCUGGAGCACAAGUGUUCCCGGAAUCUGGAGCAGGGUUAAAAGCAGAGAUGAAUAAUGAUCCCCAUUGUAAAGUCCCAGGGAUCCAGAUAAGAUAAUAUGCCCCACUCCAGGGAGAAUAUAUAUACUUUUUUAUUAAGAAGACACAAGAAAUGGAAUGCAGCCUAUGUUUGUAAGCGGACUUUAAUAUUAAGCCCUCAAUAAAUAUUUGAUAAAUGAAUGAAUGAUUCUGUCCAAAGAGGUUAAUCAUUAAAAUGCUCAGAGGAGACCUCAGCAGGCCCUUGAAGAACACAGCAAUUUAAGAAGUAAAAAGGAGGAUGUAGGGGAAUGUUAGUCAGGGUCAAGCCAAACAUUGAAUUCAGCAUGGCAAAUGAAAUUUACUGUAAGUGGUCUCUGUGCUGAGAUACAUAUUACUGUUUGUGCAAAUUUAGUUCCGUUAACUUUUCCCAAAACUUCUUCACCACCUUAUCUUGGAGCUUAAUUCUAACUCUCUCUACUAUGUCCAUACUAUGGGAAUGUCUUCAAGAUAAUAUUGUCUUGUUAAAAUUCGGCUUCAGACUUCAGGACUUUUACAUUCUUGGAUGGGGAUCUAAACAAGACAUGAACCAAUCAUAAGGAAAUAUGGCUCCUUCUCCAUUAUUUUAAACAAGAAAAUAUUAUUGUUAUUGUAGCUGUUUGAGAGACAAGGAGAUUAAACUUGCUACGGUUAAGAAAUUUGAAAGCAGAUUUUUUUAGAGGCAGACAAUAAGGAAGAGUGUUUUUGGACAUACUUUGCUCAAACCUUUCCUGUGUUUGAGUAUUCCACCCAAACAGAACUUUCUCCAUUGAGCCAUUUGCUGUCCUGUCAGCUAAAAAAUAAAAAAUAAAAAAAACAAUAAAACAAAACAAAACAAAGAGCAAAAACCAUUUUAUCUUCUUGAUACUGUGGCACUUGAUGUGCAACAGAGAGACUACAUUCUUGCAAUCGGUCAGAAGCAGAACUUGACCAAUAUGAAACAAUACAUAUCCUAAGAAAACAACAUGCACAGAUAAUUUGCAGAAAGUUUAGAACAACAACAAUAAAAUAUUUUAAUUUGCUCUGUAUUGCAAAGCUUGUUGCUUUUCAUAAUGCCUUGAUAUAACACGUGGGAUGAAGAAUCUAUUUUUUAAAAGA